AAUUCAAUUUUCUGCCACCGAAUACAUUAGCAUGGGAUAAUGGAAUAGGACCCUGUCUAAAACUUCAGUUGGUUAACUUGUAGAGGAUCAGGGUAAUGAUUAAUAGGGAUAGUUGGGGGCAUUAAUAUUUAAUUGUCAGAGGUGAAAUUCUUGGAUUUAUGAAAGAUUAACUUCUGCGAAAGCAUCUGCCAAGGAUGUUUUCAUUAAUCAAGAACGAAAGUUAGGGGAUCGAAGACGAUCAGAUACCGUCGUAGUCUUAACCAUAAACGAUGCCGACCAGCGAUUAGGAGACGUUGAAUACAAAACACCACCAUACAUAAUUCAGUAUAUGGCCAGUCAAAUGGUUGUAUAUUGUUUGUGUAUGGCACCGGUGAAUGACUCCCCUAGCAGCUUGUGAGAA
rnacentral:rRNA from 1 species